rnacentral:rRNA from 1 species
GGAUGAACCCAGAUGGGAUUAGCUUGUUGGCGGGGUAAUGGCCCACCUUGGCGACGAUCCCUAGCUGGUUUGAGAGGAUGACCAGCCACACUGGAAAUGAGACACGGUCCAGAUUCCUACGGGAGGCAGCAGUGGGGAAUAUUGCACAAUGGGCGCAAGCCUGAUGCAGCCAUGCCGCGUGUAUGAAGAAGGCCUUCGGGUUGUAAAGUACUUUCAGCGGGGAGGAAGGCGGUGAGGUUAAUAACCUUGCCGAUUGACGUUACCCGCAGAAGAAGCACCGGCUAACUCCGUGCCAGCAGCCGCGGUAAUACGGAGGGUGCAAGCGUUAAUCGGAAUUACUGGGCGUAAAGCGCACGCAGGCGGUCUGUUAAGUCAGAUGUGAAAUCCCCGGGCUUAACCUGGGAACUGCAUUUGAAACUGGCAGGCUUGAGUCUCGUAGAGGGGGGUAGAAUUCCAGGUGUAGCGGUGAAAUGCGUAGAGAUCUGGAGGAAUACCGGUGGC